GAUGGAGGGGCCACACCUGGCCAGGGCCUUCAUGUUUCAUCCUCCCAUGGCAGAAGGAAGGGAGAGGAGGAGGAAAGAAGGUGAAAUGAAGACAUUCUCUGAACUAUGAGAAUCUGUGGCCAGUAGUCCUGUUCUGUGGAGUAUUAAAGAAAAUUCUUCCUAAGAGGGAAAAUUGGAACUUCAAGAAUAAAGGAAAAGCCACACAUAUGGACGGGCAUGGUGGCUCACGCCUGUAAUCUCAGCACUUUGA
rnacentral:lncRNA from 1 species